rnacentral:rRNA from 1 species
CCUACGGGAGGCAGCAGUGGGGAAUAUUGGGCAAUGGAGGCAACUCUGACCCAGCAACGCCGCGUGAAUGAUGAAGGUCUUCGGAUUGUAAAGUUCUGUGAUGGGGGAUGAACACAAUGACGGUACCUGAUUAAGAAGCCCCGGCUAACUACGUGCCAGCAGCCGCGGUAAUACGUAGGGGGCAAGCUUUAUCCGGAUUUACUGGGUGUAAAGGGAGCGUAGGCGGCAGCGCAAGUCUGAAGUGAAAUGCCGGGGCUUAACCCCGGAACUGCUUUGGAAACUGUGCAGCUAGAGUGCAGGAGAGGUAAGUGGAAUUCCUAGUGUAGCGGUGAAAUGCGUAGAUAUUAGGAGGAACACCAGUGGCGAAGGCGGCUUACUGGACUGUAACUGACGUUGAGGCUCGAAAGCGUGGGGAGCAAACAGGAUUAGAUACCCCUGUAGUC